rnacentral:rRNA from 1 species
AGAGUUUGAUCCUGGCUCAGGACGAACGCUGGCGGCGUGCCUAAUACAUGCAAGUCGAGCGAGCUGAAUUCAAAGAUCCCUUCGGGGUGAUUUGUUGGACGCUAGCGGCGGAUGGGUGAGUAACACGUGGGCAAUCUGCCCUAAAGACUGGGAUACCACUUGGAAACAGGUGCUAAUACCGGAUAACAACAUGAAUCGCAUGAUUCAAGUUUGAAAGGCGGCGCAAGCUGUCACUUUAGGAUGAGCCCGCGGCGCAUUAGCUAGUUGGUGGGGUAAAGGCCUACCAAGGCAAUGAUGCGUAGCCGAGUUGAGAGACUGAUCGGCCACAUUGGGACUGAGACACGGCCCAAACUCCUACGGGAGGCAGCAGUAGGGAAUCUUCCACAAUGGACGCAAGUCUGAUGGAGCAACGCCGCGUGAGUGAAGAAGGUCUUCGGAUCGUAAAGCUCUGUUGUUGGUGAAGAAGGAUAGAGGCAGUAACUGGUCUUUAUUUGACGGUAAUCAACCAGAAAGUCACGGCUAACUACGUGCCAGCAGCCGCGGUAAUACGUAGGUGGCAAGCGUUGUCCGGAUUUAUUGGGCGUAAAGCGAGCGCAGGCGGAAUGAUAAGUCUGAUGUGAAAGCCCACGGCUCAACCGUGGAACUGCAUCGGAAACUGUCAUUCUUGAGUGCAGAAGAGGAGAGUGGAACUCCAUGUGUAGCGGUGGAAUGCGUAGAUAUAUGGAAGAACACCAGUGGCGAAGGCGGCUCUCUGGUCUGCAACUGACGCUGAGGCUCGAAAGCAUGGGUAGCGAACAGGAUUAGAUACCCUGGUAGUCCAUGCCGUAAACGAUGAGCGCUAGGUGUUGGGGACUUUCCGGUCCUCAGUGCCGCAGCAAACGCAUUAAGCGCUCCGCCUGGGGAGUACGACCGCAAGGUUGAAACUCAAAGGAAUUGACGGGGCCCGCACAAGCGGUGGAGC